UACGAAGGGGGCUAGCGUUGCUCGGAAUCACUGGGCGUAAAGCGCACGUAGGCGGCUUACUAAGUCAGGGGUGAAAUCCUGGAGCUCAACUCCAGAACUGCCUUUGAUACUGAAGAUCUUGAGUCCGGGAGAGGUGAGUGGAACUGCGAGUGUAGAGGUGAAAUUCGUAGAUAUUCGCAAGAACACCAGUGGCGAAGGCGGCUCACUGGCCCGGUACUGACGGCUGGAGGCACGAAAGCGUGGGGAGCAACAGG
rnacentral:rRNA from 1 species